CGGGGGACCAUGGGGUGUGCCCUGAGAAGCAGAACCGGGAGAGCGAGGACCAGCCAGGGGCUGCUUGUCUCAUUUCCACAGUGCUGGCCAGGAGGAGAGGAGACACAAACACAUCAGCCCUCUGCUGCUGCCAGAUACUUCCCGGCUCCAUGAUCAGACGCUGUGGGAAGCGAGCACAUCACAUCCCAUCAGACCAACCCCUGGAGCAUGGCCCGUGCCAGGCACUGGCCCUGCUUCUUCCACACCCAGCACAUUCCUCAGGCCCUUGAAGCAGCUUUGCCGGACAUCAGGAGGUGGGAGCUGGUGGUAAGGGAGGAGCAAGUGAAGCCACCGCAGCUGACACAGUCCAGGCUCACACACGGCUCGUACUUAAAAAACAAGAAACAAACUAGAAAACUUUUAUUUGACAACGGAAGAACGAACAAAAAGGUAUUUACAGCAGUUUUGUUUUGCUCCGUGCGUUUCGUUCCAACAAUCCCUGCCCUCCCCUCGCGUUCUGGUCCAUCUCCAGGUCCAUGGCCCAGGCAGAGCUGUAGCACUCCUGCCCUCGGGGAGGAAACCGCUUUGGUUUGACUGGGGCAAAAUUAACGGGAGGAGACCAAAAAGCCUCUCUGGGGGGAGGAAACUGACCUGCAGGGUGGGGGCUACCUACAAAUAAGAGAGGGAGGCCUAAAAUUCAGGAAGGAGGCAGGGAGCAAAGGCUGGGUGUAAAAUGGAGCGGGGGGAGAGGAGGAAGGGGAUGUUCACAGCCACCCCAUAAGCAUCCUCUGUGCAUGGCAGUGCUGGAGCCAGCCCUGUGCAGCUCAGGGGCACCCAGCCUGUGACACAGCACUGGCACAAACCUUCUGCAGCCCCAGCAGCACUCGGGAGCUCCUCUCCCCAUCACCUUCUCUCUGAAGAAAAGGGAAGGGCAGCACCAGCCACUAAAAGCAGUGCUGCUCCCUUCCAGGCCCCACCACCCUGCAGGGUGCUGCUCCCCCAGCACCUCUGGCUCCAACCACUGCAGAGCACCAGGUCCUCUGGACGUUAUUAAAUCUAAUCAUGCAACUCAACAGUCAGGCUAAUUUCCUAGGAUUAGUGUUUCUCAGGAUAGAUAACACAGGUGUGCACCGCUCUGUAACUUACAUUUUGCAGUGAAACAGCAACAGCUCAGUCCCAGUGCCAGCGCAGCACCCAGGCUGUCGGUGAGCAAUGCCCAGGCUGGGGCACAGCCAGCUCCCAGCAGGGACCAGCUUGUCACUAGAGGUCCCCAGCACCGCGCAGCCACCAGCCCUGGAGAGCAAGAGCAGGAGGAAGGGAGCAGGGACUCAUCCCUCUGCUUCCCAGUGCAGCUGGUGGAUGAGGCAGCUCUGUUUGCUGGGAGCCCAUAGGCUGCAGGCUGGGAGUGCUGCACUAACAGGUCACCACACAGGCCCCUGCCCACAACGUGCCUCUUCCCACACUAGUUUUUAACCAAAAAACGAGAAAAUCAAGAAGUUGGAUAUAAAGUUUUCACAGUCUCAGCUUCACAUCCACCCCCAGCAGCCGCCUGCAGUCAGCACCAAGCAGGCUCUGCACCGUGCUCUCUGUUCCAGGGCACAACAUUGAGCAGGAACUGGAGAGGAACACGGGGGGGGGGGGCUGUGGAAAUGCUGAAGAGAAGAAACAAAAACGUAAUAAAAAUCAUAUAAUAAAUCACAAUUAAAGGGAAAAUGUUUCAACAAAAAAAAA